AUUGAACGCUGGCGGCAGGCCUAACACAUGCAAGUCGAGCGGAGCGGCGGACGGGUGAGUAAUGCCUAGCAACCUGCCUGGUAGUGGUGGAUUACGUCCGGAAACGGGCGCUAAUCCCGCAUACUAUCAGAUCAGCCUCGGUCGGAUUAGCUAGUUGGUGGGUGAAAGGCCUACCAAGGCGACGAUCCGUAACUGGGCUGAGAGGAUGAUCAGUCACACUGGAACUGAGACACGGUCCAGACUCCUACGGGAGGCAGCAGUGGGGAAUAUUGGACAAUGGGCGAAAGCCUGAUCCAGCCAUGCCGCGUGUGUGAAGAAGGUCUUCGGAUUGUAAAGCACUUUAAGUUGGGAGGCGUUACCAACAGAAUAAGCACCGGCUAACUUCGUGCCAGCAGCCGCGGUAAUUC
rnacentral:rRNA from 1 species